GCCGGAGUGGCGAAAUGGCAGACGCAGGGGACUCAAAAUCCCCCGAGGGCAACCUCAUGUCGGUUCGACUCCGACCUCCGGCACCC
rnacentral:tRNA from 1 species